AUGUUGUAAUCUUCCAUUCAUUUGGUCAUUUCUGUCUGAAAUGUGUAGCCUCUUCUUUACAUAUGUAACAAUCUUUGCACAGAAUUUUGAACCUGUUCGGGCGUUGCUUCAAAUUCGACUAAAGUACCCCCAGCAAAUGCUUACUUAACAGCAGCAAUAUAAACAACAGCCUCACACCCACACACACGCACACAGCUGCGCCGACAACACAAACAAAUGUGCAUGUACUGUGUGUUGUGGACUUGUGGACAUGCAACACCCCUGCCGUAUCAAACCUACUCAGCACAUGGUUGCUUCUAAAUGAACAUCUUCACGAGUGCUGUUUCGCUUAUCGUGCAUUCGUACAUGCGUGCUUUCUCCCUUGCUUUUACCAGCACACGUAGUGACAAAGCGCACAGACGUCCGGACGAAGACGAGUACUAUCAGUGUGGAUGGCAGACCACGUAGUGACGAAUCGCAUCGAAGGUGCACGACAAUUGCAGCAAGUUCUGUGGCACCCCCGAUGAACUUCAUGAUUUGAUGGGAACCUAAAACUUAAAGUUCAAAAAUCGUAAAACAAACAAUGGGGAACAAACUUUGAAAUAAAUAUAUUUUACAUUUUGUCUACGGUA